rnacentral:rRNA from 1 species
CACCGCCCGUCACACCAUGGGAGUCAGUUGCUCCAGAAGCCGGUCGCCUAACCGCAAGGAGGGCGCCGACCACGGUGAGAUUCAUGACUGGGGUG